GUUUAAUCAUUCCUGGUGCAUCUGAAAGACCCCCGAAGGGAGACCCUCACACAGACACUCAAGUCCCGGGACAGCCGCGUACCCAAGAAGACACUGAGACCA
rnacentral:pre_miRNA from 7 species